rnacentral:rRNA from 1 species
GUUGAACGCUGGCGGCAGGCCUAACACAUGCAAGUCGAACGAGUGGCGGACGGUUGCGUAAUGUCUGGUAACCUGCCCGUUGGAUGGGGAUAACUACUGGAAACGGUAUCUAAUACCGCAUACCAUCCGAUUUGGCCAGAUGGGAUUAGCUUGUAGGUGAGGUAACGGCUCACCUAGUCGACGAUCCCUAGCUGGUCUGAGAGGAUGACCAGCCACACUGGGACUGAGACACGGUCCAGACUCCUACGGGAGGCAGCAGUAGGGAAUAUUGCACAAUGGGCGCAAGUCUGAUGCAGCAAUGCCGCGUGUAUGAAGAAGGCCUUCGGGUUGUAAAGUACUUUCAGCGGGGAGGCGUUAUCCGAAGAGGAAGCAACGGCUAACUCCGUGCCAGCAGCCGCGGUAAUAC